AGUGAACGCUGGCGGUAGGCCUAACACAUGCAAGUCGAACGGCAGCACAGGAGAGCUUGCUCUCUGGGUGGCGAGUGGCGGACGGGUGAGGAAUACAUCGGAAUCUACUUUUUCGUGGGGGAUAACGUAGGGAAACUUACGCUAAUACCGCAUACGACCUACGGGUGAAAGCAGGGGAUCUUCGGACCUUGCGCGAUUGAAUGAGCCGAUGUCGGAUUAGCUAGUUGGCGGGGUAAAGGCCCACCAAGGCGACGAUCCGUAGCUGGUCUGAGAGGAUGGUCAGCCACCCGGGAAAUGAGACACGGUCCAGACUCCUACGGGAGGCAGCAGUUGGGAAUAUUGGACAAUGGGCGCAAGCCUGAUCCAGCCAUACCGCGUGGGUGAAGAAGGCCUUCGGGUUGUAAAGCCCUUUUGUUGGGAAAGAAAUCCAGCUGGCUAAUACCCGGUUGGGAUGACGGUACCCAAAGAAUAAGCACCGGCUAACUUCGUGCCAGCCGCCGCAGUAA
rnacentral:rRNA from 1 species